GACGAACGCUGGCGGUGUGCUUAACACAUGCAAGUCGAACGGUAAGGCCCUUUCGGGGGUACACGAGUGGCGAACGGGUGAGUAACACGUGAGUAACCCGCCCUCAUCUCUGGGAUAACAGUCGGAAACGGUUGCUAAUACUGGAUAUGAGCCUGCAAGGCAUCUUGUGGGUUGGAAAGAUUUUUUGGUUGGGGAUGGACUCGCGGCCUAUCAGCUUGUUGGUGAGGUAGUGGCUCACCAAGGCUUCGACGGGUAGCCGGCCUGAGAGGGCGACCGGCCACAUUGGGACUGAGAUACGGCCCAAACUCCUACGGGAGGCAGCAGUGGGGAAUAUUGCACAAUGGACGGAAGUCUGAUGCAGCAACGCCGCGUGCGGGAUGACGGCCUUCGGGUUGUAAACCGCUUUCAAUUGUGACGAAGCUUUUUGUGACGGUAGCAGUAGAAGAAGCACCGGCUAACUACGUG
rnacentral:rRNA from 1 species